GACGAACGCUGGCGGCGUGCUUAACACAUGCAAGUCGAACGGAAAGGCCCUGCUUUUGUGGGGUGCUCGAGUGGCGAACGGGUGAGUAACACGUGAGUAACCUGCCCUUGACCUUGGGAUAACUUCAGGAAACUGGGGCUAAUACCGGAUAGGAGCUCCUGCUGCAUGGUGGGGGUUGGAAAGUUUCGGCGGUUGGGGAUGGACUCGCGGCUUAUCAGCUUGUUGGUGGGGUAGUGGCUUACCAAGGCUUUGACGGGUAGCCGGCAUGAGAGGGUGACCGGGCACAUUGGGACUGAGAGACGGCCCAGACUCCUACGGGGGGCAGCAGUGGGGAAUAUUGCACAAUGGGCGGAAGCCUGAGGCAGCAACGCCGCGUGCGGGAUGACGGCCUUCGGGUUGUAAACCGCUUUCGCCUGUGACGAAGCGUGAGUGACGGUAAUGGGUAAAGAAGCACCGGCUAACUACGUG
rnacentral:rRNA from 1 species